rnacentral:rRNA from 1 species
CUUGAACGCUGGCGGCCGGCCUAACACAUGCAAGUCGAACGAGUGGCGGACGGGUGAGUAAUGUCUGGGAAACUGCCCGAUGGAGGGGGAUAACUACUGGAAACGGUAGCUAAUACCGCAUACCAUCGGAUGUGCCCAGAUGGGAUUAGCUAGUAGGUGGGGUAACGGCUCACCUAGGCGACGAUCCCUAGAUGGUCUGAGAGGAUGACAAGCCACACUGGAACUGAGAAACGGUCCAGACUCCUACGGGAGGCAGCAGUGGGGAAUAUUGCACAAUGGGCGCAAGCCGGAUGCAGCCAUGCCGCGUGUAUGAAGAAGGCCUUCGGGUUGUAAAUUACUUUCAGCGGGGAGGCGUUACCCGCAGAAGAAGCACCGGCUAACUACGUGCCAGCAGCCGCGGUAAUAC